rnacentral:rRNA from 1 species
AUUGAACGCUAGCGGGAUGCUUUACACAUGCAAGUCGAACGGCAGCGCGGACUUCGGUCUGGCGGCGAGUGGCGAACGGGUGAGUAAUGUAUCGGAACGUGCCCAGUAGCGGGGGAUAACUACGCGAAAGCGUAGCUAAUACCGCAUACGCCCUACGGGGGAAAGCAGGGGAUCGUAAGACCUUGCACUAUUGGAGCGGCCGAUAUCGGAUUAGCUAGUUGGUGAGGUAACGGCUCACCAAGGCGACGAUCCGUAGCUGGUUUGAGAGGACGACCAGCCACCCUGGGACUGAGACACGGCCCAGACUCCUACGGGAGGCAGCAGUGGGGAAUUUUGGACAAUGGGGGCAACCCUGAUCCAGCCAUCCCGCGUGUGAGAUGAAGGCCUUCGGGUUGUAAAGCACUUUUGGCAGGAAAGAAACGUCGCGGGCUAAUACCCCGUGGAACUGACGGUACCUUCAGAAUAAGCACCGGCUAACUACGUG